UCUCUUUGUCGUGAAGUCUCCAAAGUUCCAUUUUUUAGCCGCUAAUAUCAUUCAAUUUGUUCAUUUUACAAUUCUCUCACCAAUUGGUGGAUUCUAAUGGCGACGUUCGACUUAUUAUACUCUCUCUUGAUCGAUCUCUGCCACUUGGUCCGAACCUGCAUCCGCUCCGCCAUUGCUCAGCUGACGUACUGAAAGAGGCUCUUGUGUGUGUGAAGAAUCAUGGCCGACUCGGAGAAUUUGCUUUUGGAAGCUGCGGGCCGAACGGGUGCAUCCCCAAGGAAAAGGCGGUCAUUACAACAUAUAGAAGGAGACGUCAAGGUUGGUAUUUGGUUCGUGGAAGCGAUUCUAGGGAAGAUUACUCUGACGAUGGCUGCAGUUAUUUGGGGAGGAAGCCAUCGGGAUCUCAAGUCCUUCUGCAGAAGAGAUCUGAAUCUACGGAGAUACACGGUGAUCAGGGCGGCCUGGAGGGUGAUGAAGACUAUGGGGGCUCGGAUCCUGGGGCGGGUAGUAGUGAUGAAUCUGAUUAUGUGGGCAGCAAUUUGUACGAGGAUGACGAUGACCGCGGGAAGCCCGUGCAGAUGACUGAGCUCCAAAAGAAUGGAUGUUAUGCGAUCGAUCGAGCAACAGAGAUGAUGAGGACUUUAAGAAAAACUUCAUGAAAAUGAAGGAGAACGAGGAGGCUUCUCAGGCACCUUCCACAGGACGGAUCCAAUCAUCGACUUGUUCUGCUGACAGGGCGGCUGCCAAGGAUGGUGCCUUGAACAAGUUGAGGGCAAAGCGGCUAAAGCAGCGGGGAAUCUCAAGUCUAACCAUCAAAGGAAGUUCUGAUAAUUGCGAUUUUUCUCUGUCAGGUGAAAUCACUUUGCUGCCGGUCUCAAUCACUUCAUUCAGAGUGAUAGCAAAAUUGAGUAGAAGCAAAAUCAAGGUCUUAUAGUAAGCUAUAUUUUAGGUGGGCUACGGCAUCCUAAGGGGGUAUCUGCAGAUGUUGCUGUCAGUCAUAUGCACAAAUAGUAGUUUUUCUAGUGCAAAAAUGAUCCUAGGAAAUUUUCGUUCUUUCUUUUUUCUCUUUUCUCGUAUCUGAUUUGUCAUUUUGAGCCAAAUGAAAUUAGGUCCCUGUGAGUUCAUUAUCUCAUCACGCGGGGCAUCGCUGAGUCUGCAAUAUAAAUUUGGAAGUGCAAUAAGUGCGUAGAUUGGAGGAUUUGAUCUGGAACACCGAGCAAAAGAUAAACGACAGGCUCCCAUUUAUUACCGGUUUUCGACAAUUGGAACUUGUUUUGUAUAUGAGAUGAAUGCCUUUAUUGUAGUAACUGCUAUUGCAGAAUGAAUGUCUAUUUUCGACGACAAUAAACUAAAGAAUGAAGACAGUUACGAGCAA